UGAUGCGGUCUUCUUAUAAGCGACUCCCAAAUUAUCUUCCCGCUAGCAUAUUUGUCUGUCACGUUAUUGUAGGGGUAUAGCAAUGUUUAAUUAUAUAUGUUAGAGAACAAAAUGGAAAAUGAAAGAGAAAUAGAAUUCCCUACAAUAAAAUAAAUCCUAAUACAUUAAAUUUUGUCAAAAAAACAAAAUCCUAAUACAUUAAAUAGUAUUAUUUGCAGGACAGUAAAUUCUGGGCAGAUUUAUUUGUUUUCUGCUAAAAGAAAUAGAAAAAUAACACCCUGCUCUCAGAAAAAUAAAAUAAAAAAUAACACUUCCCGUAAGGGUUUCAGUCGCCCCCAAAUCUCUCACCCACCCCAACAGAAUUUCUCGUCGUCGAUAUCACCCAUACACAGCGACCAUGCUUUCUCCGUCCAGAGCAGCCAUCUCCGGUGCCAAAUUUCUCUCCUUACAAUGAAGGCCCCUCGCCUGUUCAGAGCCCACUUCGCAAAAAAUUCGUUCAAAGCCCUUCCGUGAUUCUUUCUUCGUUCUAUUCUCCGUCGAAUGAAGGUUGACUAUAACGAAAGUAUUUCGUUGUGCUUGGGAUCCUUUCAUUGUUUACACUUCUGAUAUCUUUGCCAUCCUAGCCACUUGGUGUAGGUAGCACUUGAGCACAGCAUGGGAGUAAGCAAGCCUAAAGAUUCAAGUCUUAAUGUAUUCAUUAUAUAUGAUGGUGUGUGGCAACAAGGAGGAGUUAAAUGGAUUUAUGAAGGGGGUUCUUCUAGAGUAGUUUCUUUGUCAAUGAGUGUAAGCUACUCACAAUUGUUGGACAAGUUGUUUGAAAUACUUAAGGUGGAUAGAGCUUUGUUUGACUUCAAAUUGGAAGUCGUUUAUCCAUGUGGUGGACAACCUCUACCUCCCAUUGUUGUUGCCAAUGAUGCUGACGUAUCAAUUUUCAUUAAUGAGAACUCCAUCUCCAUCCAACAUCGCACUCCGCUAUGUGUUACUCCUAUAAGGAAAAACAUUUCUGUUGGUCAUACCCCUAGUAAUAUUAUGGAAGAUCGAAGUCAAGUUCACUCAUUUGUUCCAGAAACAGGUCCAACCCAAGAGCCUUUUGUUGAUGAUGAGCCAUUUGUGAAUGAUGAUCAUGUUGCUGAUUUAAAUGCAUAUUUUGAGGAAGCAAGUUCGGAUGAUAACUUUCAGAACGUGUCAAGGGAGAAGUUAAAUAUUGUACAUGCUCAACAAGUAGAGGAAGAGUGUGAAGAACCAGAACCACAGACGGAAAAACAAAAACAAUUGAAAAAGAGCAAAAUUGGUGGUUCACAAAGUAGUCGUGUCAAUGCUCUUGAAGCAAAUGAUGAUGAUAACAGAUGGAGAGCCUUUACAGCAGAAGAUAUCGCAAACUUGAAUGGGAUAAAUACAUCAUCCUCCGCGAGUUAUGGAGCAUUAAAAUUGGGACAGAUAUUUGAGAAUAAGCUGGAAUUGAAGACCAAAGCCCAUUUGUAUGCAAUGAAGAAGAAUUUUGAGUUUGUAGUGAAGAAGUCUGGUACCGAUGUCUGGUACAUUACUUGCAAAGAUUCCAAUUGUCGUUGGCGAUUGCGAGGUAAGAAGCUGGUUAGUUCUGCCAUGUUCGAGAUAGUCGUAUUUUUAAAUGAACACACAUGUUCACUUGAAUUUCGACAUAAAGACAAUCGUCAAGCUGCUCCAUGGGUUAUAGGUCAUGUCAUCAAGAAGAAAUAUGUGAUCGACGGGUCUAACUAUUCGCCAGUCAAUAUAAUGAAUGACAUCAAACAGAAAUAUGGGAUCAAGAUAAGUUACGAGAAGGCUUGGAGAUGCCGAGAAAAAGCUCUUAUGUAUGUGAGAGGGACACCUGAAACGUCAUAUGCCAAACUACCUGCUUUUUUGUACAUGUUACAACAAAAGAAUCCAGGUACCAUACAUGAUUUUGUGAUAGAAGAAGGUGUAUUCAAGUAUUGUUUUCUUUCCCUUGGAGCUUGUCGACGAGGUUUCAGUUCAUGUCGUCCCGUUCUAUGUCUAGAUGGCAUUUCUUUGAAGACAAAAUAUGGUGGUCAUAUGUUAUGUGCUGUAGCAUUGGAUGCAAACAAUAACUUGUAUCCAAUUGCAUUUGCAAUCAUCGAUAAUGAAAAUCACGACUCUUGGACAUAUUUCAUGAGAAAGCUUAAGGAAGCAAUUGGCGAGGUUGAGAAUUUAGUAUUUGUAUCAUACAGACAUGCUAGCAUUACACAUGCUUUGGAGCAUGUAUUCCCAAAUGCCCAUCACGGAGUCUGCUACUACUAUAUGAGUAUGAAUGUGACUUCUGAAUUCAAAACUGAUCAUUGUCACCAAGAAAUGUAUUUGGCAGCUUAUGCUUUUUAUAAAGCUGAGUUUCAUCACUAUUUUGAGAAAAUAAAAGUCAAAGAUCCUGCCAUUGCAUCCUAUUUAGAAGGUAUUGGUUUUGAGAGAUGGUCUCGAGCUUACUUUCCUAGGAGUAGGUACAGUGUAAUGACUAGUAAUUAUGCUGAAAGCUUUAACAAUAAAACGGGGGAUGCAAUGACUUGGCCAAUCACGACGUUUGUGGAAUAUAUUCGAUUCACACUCCAAAAUUGGUUUUCUGAUCAACGAGAAACAGCCAUGAAGAACACUAGUCAAUUGGCACCUACAUUGGAGCAAGAUAUACACAAACUAGCUGAAAGGGCGAAGUAUUUGGUUGUAGAUGCACUUAGUGAGUAUGAGUUUCAUGUGUUGGAUGGUGACGGUGAUGGUGAGGUUAACCUGUUGACAAAAGAAUGUUCAUGUGGGAAAUUUCAAAUUAUUGGAGUUCCUUGUGUACAUGCAUUAGCUGCAGCCCUAAAACAGAAUGUCAACAUGUAUUUAUUGUGUUCUAAAUUUUACACAAUAGAUGCAUUGAGGAACUCAUAUGCGGAAGAUAUAUACCCAUGUGGUGAUGAGGUUGAUUGGAAUGUCCCUGAGUCUAUUAAGGAUAUGCAUGUUAAAGUACCUGUUGAGAAAGCUUUUGUUGGUAGUCCCAAGAAAAAAAAAGGAAGACCAAAGAAAAAAUGUAAACGGCCCCAAGGAGAGCAUUUGAUGUUGGAACGUAAAUGCAGUCAAUGUGGAGGUCGGGGUCAUAAUAAAGCAUCUUGUAAAGCUAAAGUAUGACUUAGAUUUAUAAAAUAUUUACUUUUUCUUAAGCUCAAUUAAUUUGGUUAUGAAGUUUAUUUUUAUUAAAAUUUUAGGGGUCAGUUAGAGUAGUGAGGUUACUUUUUCAAUACCAUAUGAAUUAGCAAACGGUUUGUUAGAUUCUAAUGCUUACUUCAUGUGCACCCUCACACACAUUAGUAAUGAUUAGUUAAAAGAGAAAAAUGAAAAAUAAUUUGUUAUUUUUAAAUCAUCCUAUCUCUCUUUCUUCCUUAGUAGUUAGAAAUAUGAACAGGCAGAUGCCCUUUGCCCGUAUUUGACGUACUGCCAUGAUCUCUCACGCUGCUCCUUCUAAACAAGGCCAUCAUUUGAACGGAUGAGUUUGUUCUUCGGAACUGUUGUUAUGUUGGUGGAAAAGAUAGAUGGGGGAUUAUGGCACACUCUCUGUGUCUGAUGAUGGCUGUGCAUAUGAUUUUAGGGGUAAUGAGUUUGGACAGUUGGGGACUGGCACUGAUAAGAUUGAUGAGGUACUUACUGAAACUUGUCAUCAUUUUUUCUUUGAACACUUGGUGCAUUUGUGUAGGUACUCAUUUACUCAUAAUUUCAAUAAGGAGGAUGGUCGUUGUUUUGUGGCUAUUGAAUAUGCCAUUUUUGCUUGCUAAUAAAAUGAUAGCAUUGUAUGAUGUGUGAUGUGUGAUGUUUAGGUAUGUGUGAGUUGGUUGUGCUUGGCAUUGUGAUACAUGGGAUGCUUGUACCUGACAUUAUGUAUUGUUUUUUACUCUUUCUGCUCAUUUUAUUUGAUAACAUUUUUGCUUCAUUACCUUUGUUAAAACGUCACUUGCAUGUUUAUCCUCUUUCGAUACGGAUUGGGUGGAGGAUUUUUUACCUGGUGUAGUUUUUUCUAUCUUCCUAUUGUAUUACAGAUUGGACCAUAAAAUAGUUAAUAUUCGUGAUCUUUAAAUGUUCUGUGGUAAACUAGGAAAUGAUCGAUUUAGGACUUAUUUAUGUACUGAUAAUUCUACAAACAUCGAAUAUGCUUGUAAAUUAAGGGCGUAGCACCAUACCAUUUUAGUUUAUUUUAUAAUAUAUUAACAUUGUUGUUGAUUGUGGUUUUUAUAAUUCUGAUAGCAUGAAUGCAAAUUUUGUAUUAUUUAGACAUGCUUUAUUUGUGAAGUUAUAGGAAUCUGUUAUAUGGUUUUAUUAGUUUAUUUUUAAUUAUUUACUGUACAGCAGGAAUCCAAGCCAGGGCAUACAAAUGUGGCUAUAUUAAUAACAUGAUGACUAAGGCCAUGUAUUUGUUCGUCUAAAUUAAGAAAUGAUAUAAUUCUCUUAGCAUUUGACAUCACAAAUAUUGUUUUCCUUGACAAAACAAGGCAAUUCUAAUGGUUAUAUAUGCAACUUUUACGCAACUUUUAUGCAACUUUUACUUGGCAUAAGAUGUCUCUUUAUGCAACUUUUACUUAAUUUUUUUUUUAAAAAAAACAACUAUUGUUCAAUAAUUAGAAGUAUGAAAAUUUGGAUGGGAGACAUUUUCAUGUAAUUGAAUUAUUUUAUCAUUAGCUCUCCAUCUUCAAGUCUUCAUGUCCAUUAUUUUAUCAUCUUUAGUUUUUGCUCCUGGAGUAGUUUCUAGAUGGUUAGUAUACCUUUGAUGUUGUUUGCUGUCUGAUCUAGCUGCUUGUUGCUGAUCUCGUCUGUACUUUGUUUUGGUUUUUAUUCUAUCUGGGUUGCUAUUUUUUAGCACCAGCUAUCAAAAAAACAUUUCUACA